GUAGGUUAUGGUGACAUUUAUCCCAAAACUUUACUAGGUAAAAUAGUUGGUGGAUUGUGUUGCAUUGCUGGAGUGCUGGUAAUAGCCCUACCCAUUCCCAUCAUAGUAAACAAC
rfam:Ophiophagus hannah scaffold1195.1, whole genome shotgun sequence.